GCAGGGGAAGAGUUUGGAAGGAUUUAAUUUGACAAAAGCCACAGAAGAAGACAGAAAAACACAAGCAGAUUUUCUCAGAGCCCUGAAUCACCAAACUCAUCUGAGAACCCCGAACAC